ACGACGAAGACGAUAGUGAUAGUGCUAGUGAUAGUAGUGGUGAAUGUGAUAGUGGUGGUGAUAGUGAUAACGAAUAGAAAUACGAUAAAAAAUACAAAAGAAAAAUAUAAUUUGAAAAAAAAUAAAAAGGAAUUGGUAAAGAGACACUAAGUAAAAAAAUAAGGAUGGCAGAUACAAGUCAACAACAACCAUUAUCCGAACCACACACGAAUGGAGUAAUGGAUGGUUUGACAGAAGAAGAAAAGAGCAAAAUGCGGCCUGCAGAUAUCGAUGCGGACAUGAGAGAGAUGGAAAGAAGGAAGAGAGUCGAAAUGAUGAUGAAUUCGCGACUUUUUCGAGAAGAAUUAGAACGCAUAAUUGAAACACAAAUGAAAGAUGGUGCUGGACCAUCAGGUCUAUUACAGCAAAUCUCGGACAUGAUGGGUGCACAAGGUGCUCGAUUCAACGGAAAUAUUUUUAAAAAUUCAAAUUGUGUAUUACCUAUCAAUGAUAUACGUGGUGUUGAAAGUAUGGGUUAUGCAAAGGGAGAGAAAUUAUUGCGCUGCAAAUUGGCAGCAGUAUUUAGAUUGCUUGAUCUCUAUGGUUGGACUCAAGGUGUUGGAGGACAAAUUACAGCUCGUUUAAAUCAAGAUCAAGAACACUUUUUAGUUAAUCCAUAUGGUUUAUUGUAUCAUGAAGUUACUGCUUCAAGUUUGAUUAAAGUUGAUAUGCAAGGAACAAUCGUGGAACAAGGAACAACCAAUUUUGGGGUUCAUGUGGCAGGAUUUCAAUUGCAUUCAACAAUCCAUGCUGCGAGACCCGAUAUAAAAUGCAUUGUUCAUAUUACCACUCCGUCCGUUACUGCUAUCUCGUCAUUGAAGUGCGGAUUAUUGCCAAUAGGACAAGAAAGUAUAGUAAUAGGAGAGGUAAGCACGCAUCAAUAUAUAGGUGGAUUUUUUGAACCAGAAGAAAAAGAGAAGAUAGCAAGAAAUCUUGGUCCAAUGAACAAAAUCAUGUUGUUAACGAAUCGCGGUGCUCUCUGUUGUGGAGAAACUGUCGAAGAAGCUUUCUUCAAUGUUUAUAAUAUGGUCCUAGCUUGUGAGACUCAAUUGAAAUUAAUGCCUGCCGGUUUGGAUAAUUUAAAUCUUAUUUCUGAAGAAUCUAAAAAAGCUAUAUUCGAAGCUUCGAGAAAACCACCGACACCGCAACAAACGGUUCCAAUUUCUGAAACUACAGCUCUUACUGAGAAACUCGAAAAGCGUUGGCGAAUCGGUGGAACUGAAUUCGAAGCUCUUAUGCGGAUGCUUGAUAACGCUGGUUUCCGAACUGGUUAUAUAUAUAGAAAUCCGUUAGUGAAAGGAGAACCUCCGCGGCCUCGAAAUGAUGUAGAAGUACCGCCAGCGGUCUCGUCUUUAGGAUAUUUACUUGAAGAGGAAGAAUUAUAUAAACAAGGGCUUUGGAAAGGUGGUCGUAAAGGUACAGAUAGAUCACGUUGGUUAAAUUCGCCCAAUGUAUAUCAAAAGGUUGAGAUACUUGAAACAGGAACUCCUGAUCCGAAGAAAAUAACAAAGUGGGUGUCAGACGGAUCUCCGACCCAUAGCAGUACACCGGUGAAGAUCGACAGUGCCCUUCAAUUUGUACCGAAAAAUACCAAUCCAAAGGAAUUUAAACAAAUACAACAACAGAUAAAAGAUUAUCGUAGAGCAGAUAAAAUAUCAGCUGGACCACAAUCUCAUAUAUUAGAAGGUGUUACGUGGGAAGAAGCUAAAAAGAUGCAGGAUGCCACUAUUAGCGGAACAGGAGAGCAAGUAGUAUUGGUAGGUGCAGCCAGUAAAGGUAUUAUACAAAGAGGGUUUCAACACAACGCAAUGGUUUAUAAAACGCCAUAUGCCAAAAAUCCUUUUGAUGCUAUUACUGACCAAGAACUCGAUCAGUACAAACGAGAAGUGGAACGUAAACAAAAAGGAGAUAUCUAUGAUGAGUCGCAAUCAGAAUCGGAAGCAUUAUCAUCAUUUAAUGUCAGCCGCGCAACACAUGAAUCGAGCACUGCCAAAAGUCCUAUUCAAUCACCUGUAUCAGUAACAUCGGAAACAGAAGAGGAAAGCAGAGAUGAACCCCGAGUAUUACGAAUAGAAACGAAACAAGUGCCUGCACCAAGUCAACCUGAAGUUGUACUGAGUGAUGGAGAAAAUACCGUAAACGGCGAUCACUCUGAUGCUCAUCACAGUACAUUUUCUCAAAGUAGUAAAGAGGGUUCCGUGUCGCAGGAUGUGAGCGUUAGCGAGGAGUCUCCGAAAAAGGAAAAAAAGAAGAAGAAAGGCCUUAGAACACCCUCUUUCCUAAAGAAGAAGAAAGAAAAGAAGAAGCCAGUCGAGGCGUAGGUAGUCCUAACUUUGUAUUUCGGAAAUACUAAGAAGAAAUACAAAGAUAAAAGACACUGCCAGGAGCAAAAGCUUAUCGCAAAUAAAAGAACAAUUAUUGAAUGAAGAAUUAAUCCGCGAGACAGAGAAGAGUCGAAGAUCGCAAAGCGAGUCAAAAAUGCAUAUACCGGAAACGAAUGAAAAUAGAAAAUAGGAAAUAGAAUAUAGAAAUUUGAAAAUUAAAAUAAUCAUGCAACAAUCACAGCAUCUUUCCAGGACUCAAGACUGCCAUCGCAUUACGUCUACAAUAAGAAACUAUAUUGUACUGUUAAUGUUUUUACGUUUUUAAUUUGUUAAAGCGUCGCGCUGAACUAUUUAAUCCGCUAUUUAAUUUUGCCUCCCCAGCCCCGUUUGUGUAAUGCAAUAAAACAAGACAAAAGAAAUACGUCUCUAAUUGACGAGAAAAGAUGUGAAAAGAA
rnacentral:misc_RNA from 1 species